rnacentral:pre_miRNA from 1 species
UCAGCCCACUUCCAGCUGGAUUAUGGAACUGGUCCCAGCUGGACUGCCUCAUUUCCAGCUGGACUGCCUCAUUUCCAGCUGGACUGCCUCAUUUCCAGCUGGGACCAGCUCCAUAGUCCAGCUGGAAGUGGGCUGA